GAACUGCUGAGGAGUCCCACAAUAGGACGAAACAGCUGUUCAGUGC
rfam:Schistosoma mattheei strain Denwood, Zambia genome assembly, scaffold: SMTD_scaffold0001151